GGGGGGACCAUCCUCCAAGGCUAAAUACUACUGACCGACCGAUAGUGAACCAGUACCGUGAGGGAAAGGCGAAAAGAACCCCGGAGAGGGGAGUGAAAUAGAACCUGAAACCGUGUGCGUACAAGCAGUAGGAGCUCCGCAAGGAGUGACUGCGUACCUUUUGUAUAAUGGGUCAGCGACUUACUGUUCGUGGCAAGCUUAACCGUAUAGGGGAGGCGAAGGGAAACCGAGUCUGAUAAGGGCGCAUAGUCGCGGGCAGUAGACCCGAAACCGGGUGAUCUAGUCAUGCCCAGGGUGAAGGUGCGGUAACACGCACUGGAGGCCCGAACCCACUCCCGUUGCAAAGGUAGGGGAUGAGGUGUGAUUAGGAGUGAAAAGCUAAUCGAACCCGGAGAUAGCUGGUUCUCCUCGAAAGCUAUUUAGGUAGCGCCUCAUAUGUAUCCUCUCGGGGGUAGAGCACUGUUAUGGCUAGGGGGUCAUCGCGACUUACCAAACCAUUGCAAACUCCGAAUACCGAGACGGACUGUAUGGGAGACACACGGCGGGUG
rnacentral:rRNA from 1 species